rnacentral:lncRNA from 11 species
AUGUUGAAUCUGCAAAGAGGAAAACUGACUAAUACUUCUCUAGUAAGUAAGUAAAUCUCUGUGCUGGGAAGAAAUCCCUAAAUUGAUGGACCUUGGGGGUGCCUUCCAACUGAAUGUCAGGAGAGUUUGAAUGGUGCCCUUGCAUCUGGAAGAAGGAGGUACAAAACUCAACCAGAUGGAUUGUUACAUCUUUUUCAUCAUGGAUGGUGGGACACCUUUAUUCCAUGAC